GGAGAGGUACCCAAGCGGCCAAAGGGGGCAGACUGUAAAUCUGUUGGCUACGCCUUCGCUGGUUCGAAUCCAGCCCUCUCCACCA
rnacentral:tRNA from 1 species